UGGGGAAUAUUGCACAAUGGGCGCAAGCCUGAUGCAGCCAUGCCGCGUGUGUGAAGAAGGCCUUCGGGUUGUAAAGCACUUUCAGCGGGGAGGAAGGCGAUAAGGUUAAUAACCUUGUCGAUUGACGUUACCCGCAGAAGAAGCACCGGCUAACUCCGUGCCAGCAGCCGCGGUAAUACGGAGGGUGCAAGCGUUAAUCGGAAUUACUGGGCGUAAAGCGCACGCAGGCGGUCUGUCAAGUCGGAUGUGAAAUCCCCGGGCUCAACCUGGGAACUGCAUUCGAAACUGGAAGGCUAGAGUCUUGUAGAGGGGGGUAGAAUUCCAGGUGUAGCGGUGAAAUGCGUAGAGAUCUGGAGGAAUACCGGUGGCGAAGGCGGCCCCCUGGACAAAGACUGACGCUCAGGUGCGAAAGCGUGGGGAGCAAACAGG
rnacentral:rRNA from 1 species